rnacentral:lncRNA from 1 species
GUGAUUCAGUAAAACCAGUAAAUAAAUAGCACUGGGGUUUCUGGACUUAUCGUGCAUAUACAACAUAUUUCUGGACUUACCGAGCUAUUGUAAUAUGAAUGUAUAUUAGGACUGUAUUGAACCCUUCCAUGUUUCUGGACUCAUGAAAAUAAACUACAUGCGAUAUACUCAAAUAACACUCGGGUUUGGGACUAUUUUAUGGUGUUGUGGAUAUACUUUGUGAUUUAAAGUUACUAAUCUAUGGUCUGGUGUCAUAUCAUGGUCUAAUAUUUUUUUGUUUGACUCUUUCUCCAUUGCCAGGAAAGCGGUGAGUAGAUGUCGAUGAUGUCUACUUGCUUGGCUCCUAUGGUGAUGCAUGCACCGGUGAAGCACGCACACAUGCAAGGCUGGCCCCAUGUCUUCCUUGGCUGCGAACAUCAUCUACAGGUACAACAUUGUCCCACAUCUCUAUGCUGUUUUGCUCAUUCUUCUCCUUGCAUCUGAGAAAAUUGGUGCUUAAUCUGCUAUUGAUUACAGUCUUUGUUCGUUAAUACCAAGUCUAAAUUGUUCCUUUCAUUUUUCCUGUUACUCAGGCUAGCAGUAUGACCGGAUGCGAGGACCUGCUCACUGACCAGGACAAUCUAUGAGCUCCCAGCGCCUCUGAUACAAGGUGCGUUAGGGCCAACCUCUUCCGGAAGAAGGCCACACUCGUAGCCCCUCUGGAUCAAAAUUGGUAUCCUUCCUGCCUCUCCUUGUGGAUUCACAUGAUUUUGCCUCAUGGAUUGAUGGAUGUGUCUGUAAUUGUAAAGUCUGGUCCUCGUUUACUUUCUAUAAUUUAUUGCAUGCUUGAUGAGGCUAUGUCAAGUGUCUAAAUUUUGAAUGCAUGCUAGCUAAGGCAUUUCUGAGCACUUCGUGUUGAUUGGGCGUUUAGCUCCUGUAAUGUUCUUGAAGUUCAUUGUUAUAUACUUCUUGUUGUAGGAUGGUGUUGGAAAUAUGCCCUAGAGGCAAUAAUAAAAUGGUUAUUAUUAUAUUUCCUUGUUCAUGAUAAUUGUCUAUUGUUCAUGCUAUAAUUGUAUUAACUGGAAACCGUAAUACAUGUGUGAAUACAUAGACCACAACAUGUCCCUAGUAAGCCUCUAGUUGACUAGCUCGUUGAUCAAUAGAUGGUUAUGGUUUCCUGACCAUGGACAUUGGAUGUCAUUGAUAAUGGGAUCACAUCAUUAGGAGAAUGAUGUGAUGGACAAGACCCAAUCCUAAGCAUAGCACAAGAUCGUGUAGUUCGUUUGCUAGAGCUUUUCCAAAUGUCAAGUAUCAUUUCCUUAGACCAUGAGAUUGUGCAACUCCCGGAUACCAUAGGAGUGCUUUGGGUGUGCCAAACGUCACAACGUAACUGGGUGGCUAUAAAGGUGCACUACGGGUAUCUCCGAAAGUGUCUGUUGGGUUGGCACGAAUCGAGAUUGGGAUUUGUCACUCCGUAUGACGGAGAGGUAUCUCUGGGCCCACUUGGUAAUGCAUCAUCAUAAUGAGCUCAAUGUGACCAAGUGUUUGGUCACGGGAUCAUGCAUUAUGGUACGAGUAAAGUGACUUGCCGGUAACGAGAUUGAACAAGGUAUUGGGGUACCGACGAUCGAAUCUCGGGCAAGUAACGUACCGAUUGACAAAGGGAAUUGUAUACGGGAUUGAUUAAAUCCUCGACAUCGUGGUUCAUCCGAUGAGAUCAUCGCGGAACAUGUGGGAGCCAACAUGGGUAUCCAGAUCCCGCUGUUGGUUAUUGACUGGAGAGUCGUCUCGGUCAUCUCUGCAUGUCUCCCGAACCCGUAGGGUCUACACACUUAAGGUUCGGUGAUGCUAGAGUUGUAGAGAUAUUAGUAUGCGGUUAACCGAAAGUUGUUCGGAGUCCAGAAUGAGAUCCCGGACGUCACGAGGAGUUCCGGAGGUAAAGAUUUAUAUAUGGGGGGCCCACCUGCAUGGGGGACCCACAUGAACAUGGGUAGUGGGGGCAAGGCCCCACACCCCUGGUCAAGGCGCACCAAGAUCCCACCUUAGAAGGAAUAAGAUCAUACCCCGAAGGGAUAAGAUCAAGAUCCCUAAAAAAGGGGGAUAACAAUCGGUGGGGAAGGGAAAUGAUGGGAUUUCUUUCCCCCACCUUUGCCAACGCUCCAAUGGACUUGGAGGGCAAGAAACCAGCCCCCUCCACCCCUAUAUAUAGUGGGGAGGUGCAUGGGAGUAGCACCCCAAGCCCUGGCGCCUCCCUCCCUCCCGUGGCACCUCUUCCUCCCCGCAUGCGCUUGGCGAAGCCCUGCCGGAUCCCACUACUUCCACCACCACGCCGUCGUGCUGCUGGAUCUCCAUCAACUUCUCCUCCCCCCUUGCUGGAUCAAGAAGGAGGAGACAUCCCCGCUCCGUACGUGUGCUGAAUGCGGAGGUGCCGUCCGUUCGGCGCUAGGAUCAUCGGUGAUUUGGAUCACGACGAGUACGACUCCAUCAACCCCGUUCUCUUGAACGCUUCCGCUCGUGAUCUACAAGGGUAUCUAGAUGCACUCCUCCCCUCUCGUUGCUAGCAUCUCCUAGAUUGAUCUUGGUGACACGUAGGAAAAUUUUGAAUUUCUGCUACGUUCCCCAACAGUGGUAUCAGAGCCAGGUUUAUGCGUAGAUUCUAUGCACGAGUAGAACAGAAAGUAGUUAUGGGCGACGAUUUGUUCAAUUUGCUUACUGUUACUAGUCUUAUCUUCAUUCGGCGGCAUUGUGGGAUGAAGCGGCCCGGACCGACCUUACACGUACUCUUACGUGAGACAGGUUCCACCAACUGACAUGCACUUGAUGCAUAAGGUGGCUAGCGGGUGUUUGUCUCUCCCACUUUAGUCGGAUCGGAUUCGAUGAAAAGGGUCCUUAUGAAGGGUAAAUAGCAAUUGGCAUAUCACCGUUGUGGCUUUUGCGUAGGUAAGAAACAUUCUUGCUAGAAACCCAUAGCAGCCACGUAAAACAUGCAACAACAAUUAGAGGACGUCUAACUUGUUUUUGCAGGGUAUGGUAUGUGAUGUGAUAUGGCCAAAAGGAUGUGAUGAAUGAUAUAUGUGAUGUAUGAGAUUGAUCAUGUUCUUGUAAUAGGAAUCACGACUUUCAUGUCGAUGAGUAUGACAACCGGCAGGAGCCAUAGGAGUUGUCUUAAUUUAUUGUGUGACCUGCGUGUCAAUGAAAACGCCAUGUAAUUACUUUACUUCAUUGCUAACCGUUAGCCAUAGUAGUAGAAGUAAUAGUUGGCGAGACAACUUCAUGAAGACACGAUGAUGGAGAUCAUGGUGUCAUGCCGGUGACGAAGGUGAUCAUGCCAUGCCUCGAAGAUGGAGAUCAAAAGGCGCAAGAUGAUAUUGGCCAUAUCAUGUCACUUUAUGAUUUGCAUGUGAUGUCUGUCAUGUUUACAUCUUAUUUGCUUAGAACGACGGUAGCAUAAAUAAGAUGAUCCCUCACUAAAAUUUCAAGAAAUGUGUUCCCCCUAACUGUGCACCGUUGCGAAGGUUCGUCGUUUCGAAGCACCACGUGAUGAUCGGGUGUGAUAGAUUCUAACGUUCGCAUACAAUGGGUGUUGACGAGCCUAGCAUGUACAGACAUGGCCUCGGAACACAUGCGAAACACUUAGGUUGACUUGACGAGCCUAGCAUGUACAGACAUGGCCUCGGUACACAAGAGAUCGAAAGGUCGAACAUGAGUCGUAUAGUAGAAACGAUCAACAUGGAGAUGUUCACCGAUGAUGACUAGUCCGUCUCACGUGAUGAUCGGACACGACCUAGUCGAUUCGGAUCAUGUAUCACUUAGAUGACUAGAGGGAUGUCUAUCUAAGUGGGAGUUCAUUAAAUAAUCAGAUGAACUUAAUUAUCAUGAACAUAGUCAAAAGGUCUUUGCAAAUAAUGUUGUAGCUUAUGCUUUAGUUCUACUAAGAUAUGUUCCUAGAGAAAAUUUAGUUGAAAGUUGAUAGUAGCAAUUAUGCGGUCUGGGUCCGUAAACUGAGGAUUGUCCUCAUUGCUGCACAGAAGGCUUAUGUCCUUAAUGCACCGCUCGGUGUGCUGAACCUCGAGCGUCGUCUGUAGAUGUUACGAAACAUCUGACAUACACGUUUUGAUGAGUACGUGAUAGUUCAGUGUGUGAUGCUAACGGUUUAAAAUUGUGGCACCAAAGACGGUUUUGAAACGUCGCAGAACAUAUGAGAUGUUCCAAAGACUGAAAUUGGGAUUUCAGACUAAUGCCCACGUCAAGAGGUAUGAGACCUCUGACAAGUUUCUUAAGCCUGCAAACUAAGGGAGAAACGCUCAAUCGUUGAGCAUGUGCUCAGAUUGUCUGAGUACCACAAUCACUUGAAUCGAGUGGGAGUUAAUCCUCCAGAUGAGAUAGUGAUGGUUCUCCAUAGUCACUGCCACCAAGCUAUUAGAGCUUCGUGAUGAACUAGAACAUAUCAGGGAUAGACAUGAUGAUCCUUGAGCAACUCGCGAUGUUUGACACCGCGAAAGUAGAAAUCAAGAAGGAGCAUCAAUUGUUGAUGGUUAGUAAAACCACUAGUUUCUAGAAGGGCAAGGGCAAGAAGGGAUACUUCAUGAAACGGCAAAUCAGUUGCUGCUCUAGUGAAGAAACCCAAGGUUGAACCCAAACCCGAGACUAAGUGCUUCUGAAAUGAGGGGAACGGUCACUGAAGCAGAACUACCCUAGAUACUUCGUAGAUGAGAAGGCUGGCAAGGUCGACAGAAGUAUAUUGGAUAUACAUUAUAUUAAUGUGUACUUUACUAGUACUCCUAGUAGCACCAGGGUAUUAGAUACCGGUUCGGUUGCUAAGUGUUAGUAACUCGAAAUAAAAGCCGCGGAUUAAACGGAGACUAGCUAAAGGUGAGAUGACGAUAUGUGUUGGAAGUGUUUCCAAGGUUGAUGUGAUCAAGCAUCGCAUGCUCCCUCUACCAUCGAGAUUGGGGUUAAACCUGAAUAAUAAUUAUUUGGUGUUUGCGUUGAGCAUAGACAUGAUUGGAUUAUGUUUAUCGCAAUACGGUUAUUCAUUAAAGGAGAAUAAUGGUUACUCUGUCUAUUUGAAUAAUACCUUCAAUGGUCUUGCACCUAAAAUGAAUGGUUUAUUGAAUCGCGAUCGUAGUGAUACACAUGUUCAUGCCAAAAGAUAUAAGAUAAUAAUGAUAGUAACACAUACUUGUGGCACUACCACUUGAGUCAUAUUGGUAUAAAAUGCAUGAAGAAGCUCCAUGUUGAUGGAUCUUUGGACUCACUCGUUUUUGAAAAGAUUGAGACAUGCGAACCAUGUCUAUUAGUAUAUAUGCAUGAAGAAAGUCCAUACAGAUGGAUCGUUUGGACUCACUUGAUUUUGAAUCACUUGAGACAUGCAAAUCAUACCACAUGGGCAAGAUGACUGAAAGGCCUCGUUUUCAGUAAGAUGAAACAAGAAAGCAACUUGUUGGAAGUAAUACAUUUUGAUGUGUGCAGUCCAAUGAGUGCUGAGGCAUGCAGUGGAUAUCGUUAUGUUCUUGCUUCGCAGAUGAUUUGAGUAGAUGCUGAGUAUAUUUACUUGAUGAAACACAAGUCUGAAUUAUUGAAAGGUUCAAGUAAUUCAGAGUGAAGUUCAAGAUCGUCGUGACAAGAGGAUAAAAUGUCUGUGAUAUGAUCAUAGAGAUGAAUAUCUGAGUUACGAGUUUGGCACACAAUUAAGAAAUUGUGGAAAUUGUUUCACAACUAAUACCGCCUGGAACACCAUAGUGUGAUGGUGUGUCCGAACAUCAUAACUGCACCCUAUUGGAUAUGGUGCAUACCAUGAUGUCUCUUAUCGAAUUACACUAUCGUUUAUGGGUUAGGCAUUAGAGACAACCGCAUUCACUUUAAAUAGGGCACCACGCAAUUGCGUUGAGACGACACCGUAUGAACUAUGGUUUAGAGAAACCUAAGCUGUCGUUUCUUAAAAGUUUGGGGCUGCGACGCUUAUGUGAAAAAGUUUCAGGCUGAUAAGCUCGAACCCAAAGUGGAUAAAUGCAUCUUCAUAGAAUACCCAAAACAGUUGGGUAUACCUCCUAUUUCAGAUCUGGAAGCAAAAGUGAUUGUUUCUAGAAACGGGUCCUUUCUCGAGGAAAAGUUUCUCUCGAAAGAAUUGAGUGGGAGGAUGGUGGAGACUUAAUGAGGUCAUUGAACCAUCACUUCAACUAAUGUGUAGCAGGGCACAGGAAGUUGUUCCUGUGGCACCUAGACCAAUUGAAGUGGAAGCUUAUGAUAGUGAUCAUGAAACUUCAGAUCAAGUCACUACCAAACCUCAUAGGAUGACAAGGAUGCAUACUACUUCAGAGUGGUACGUAAUCCUGUCUUGGAAGUCAUGUUGUUGGACAAAGAUGAACCUAUGAGCUGUGGAGAAGCGAUGGUGGGCCUGGAUUCCGAUGAAUGGCUCGAGGCCAUAAACUCCGAGAGAGGAUCAGUGUAUAAAAACAAAGUGUAGACUUUGAAAGAACUACUUGAUGGUCGUAAGGCUGUUGGGUAUAGAUUAAUUUUAAAGGGAAGACAUACAAUGAUGGUAAGUGUCACCAUUAAGAAAGCUCGACUUGUCGUUAAGAUGUUUUCCGGCAAGUUCAAGGAGUUGACUGCGAUGAGACUUUCUCACUCGUAGCGAUGCUAAGAGUCUGUUAAAAUUAUAUUAGCAGUUACUGCAUUAUUUAUGAAAUCUUGCAGAUAGGAUGUCAAAACAUUGUUUCCUCGAUGAUUUUCUUGAGGAAAGGUUGUAUGUGAUACAACCAGAAGGUUUUGUCAAUCCUGAAAGAUGCUAACAAGUAUGCAAAGCUCCAGCAAUCCUUCUAAGGAUUGGAGUAAGCAUCUCGGAGUUGGAAUGAACGCUUUGAUGAGAUGAUCAAAGAUUUUGGGUUUAUACAAAGUUCAUGAGAAACUUGUAUUUCCAAAGAAGUGAGUGGGAGCACUAUAGAAUUUUUGAUGAGUAUAUGUUGUUAACAUAUUGUUGAUCAGAAAUGAUGUAGAAUUUCUGGAAAGCAUCCAGGGUUAUUUGAAAAGUGUUUUUUAGUGGAAAACCUGCAUUAAGCUACUUGAACAUUGAGCAUCAAGAUCUAUAAGGAUAGAUAAAAAAACGCUUAAUAGUACUUUCAAAUGAAUACAUACCGUGACAAGAUUUUGAAGGAGUUCAAAAUAGAUCAGCAAAGAAGGAGUUCUUGGCUGUGUUACAAGGUGUGAGUAUUGAGUAAGACUCAAGACCUGACCACGGCAGAAGAGAGAGAAAGGACGAAGGUCGUCCCCUAUGCUUUAGACGUAGGCUCUACAAUAUGCUAUGCUGUGUACCGCACCUGAAGUGUGCCUUGCCAUGAGUUAGUCAAGGGGUACAAUAGUGAUCCAGGAAGGGAUCACAUGACAGCGGUCGAACUUAUCCUUAGUAUCUAGUGGACUAAGGAAUUUUCUCGAUUAUGGAGGUGGAAAAAGGAGUUCGUCGUAAAGGGUUACGUCGAUGCAAACUUUGACACUAAUCCGGAUGACUCUGAGUAGUAAACCGGAUUCGUAUAGUAGAGCAGUUAUUUGGAAUAGUUCCAAGUGGCGCGUGGUAGCUACAUCUACAAGAUGACAUAGAGAUUUGUAAAGCACACACAGAUCUGAAUGUUGCAGACCCGUUGACUAAAACAUCUCUCGUAAGCAUAACAUGAUCAAACUCUAGAACUCAUUGAGUGUUAAUCACAUGGUGAUGUGAACUAGAUUAUUGACUCUAGUAAACUCUUGGGUAUUAGUCACAUGGCGAUGUGAACUUUGAGUGUUAAUCACAUGGUGAUGUGAACUAGAUUAUUGACUCUAGUGCAAGUGGGAGACUGUUGGAAAUAUACCCUAGAGGUAAUAAUAAAAUGGUUAUUAUUAUAUUUCCUUGUUCAUGAUAAUUGUCUAUUGUUCAUGCUAUAAUUGUAUUAACUGGAAACCGUAAUACAUGUGUGAAUACAUAGACCACAACAUGUCCCUAGUAAGCCUCUAGUUGACUAGCUCGUUGAUCAAUAGAUGGUUAUGGUUUCCUGACCAUGGACAUUGGAUGUCAUUGAUAACGGGAUCACAUCAUUAGGAGAAUGAUGUGAUGGACAAGACCCAAUCCUAAGCAUAGCACAAGAUCGUGUAGUUCGUUUGCUAGAGCUUUUCCAAAUGUCAAGUUUCAUUUCCUUAGACCAUGAGAUUGUGCAACUCCCGGAUACCAUAGGAGUGCUUUGGGUGUGCCAAACGUCACAACGUAACUGGGUGGCUAUAAAGGUGCACUACGGGUAUCUCCGAAAGUGUCUGUUGGGUUGGCACGAAUCGAGACUGGGAUUUGUCACUCCGUAUGACGGAGAGGUAUCUCUGGGCCCACUCGGUAAUGCAUCAUCAUAAUGAGCUCAAUGUGACCAAGUGUUUGGUCACGGGAUCAUGCAUUACGGUACGAGUAAAGUGACUUGCCGGUAACGAGAUUGAACAAGGUAUUGGGAUACCGACGAUCGAAUCUCGGGCAAGUAACGUACCGAUUGACAAAGGGAAUUGUAUACGGGAUUGAUUAAAUCCUCGACAUCGUGGUUCAUCCGCUGAGAUCAUCGUGGAACAUGUGGGACCCAACAUGGGUAUCCAGAUCCCGCUGUUGGUUAUUGACCGGAGAGUCGUCUCGGUCAUGUUUGCAUGUCUCCCGAACCCGUAGGGUCUACACACUUAAGGUUCGGUGACGCUAGAGUUGUAGAGAUAUUAGUAUGCGGUUAACCGAAAGUUGUUCGGAGUCCCGGAUGAGAUCCCAGACAUCACGAGGAGUUCCAGAAUGGUCAGGAGGUAAAGAUUUAUAUAUGGGAAGUCCUAUUUUGGCCACCGGAAAAUGUUCGGGAUUUUUCGGUAUUGUACCGGGAAGGUUCUAGAAGGUUCCGAAGUGGGGCCCACCUGCAUGGGGGGACCCACAUGAACGUGGGUAGUGGGGGCAAGGCCCCACACCCCUGGUCAAGGCGCACCAAGAUCCCACCUUAGAAGGAAUAAGAUCAUAUCCCGAAGGGAUAAGAUCAAGAUCCCUAAAAAAGGGGGAUAACAAUCGGUGGGGAAGGGAAAUGAUGGGAUUUCUUUCCCCCACCUUUGCCAACGCUCCAAUGGACUUGAAGGGCAAAAAACCAGCCCCCUCCACCCCUAUAUAUAGUGGGGAGGCGCAUGGGAGCAACACCCCAAGCCCUGGCGCCUCCCUCCCGUGACACCUCUUCCUCCCCGCAUGCGCUUGGCGAAGCCCUGUCGGGAUCCCACUACUUCCACCACCACGCCGUCGUGCUGUUGGAUCUCCAUCAACUUCUCCUCCCCCUUGCUGGAUCAAGAAGGAGGAGACGUCCCCGCUCCGUACGUGUGUUGAACGCGGAGGUGCCGUCCGUUCGGCGCUAGGAUCAUCGGUGAUUUGGAUCACGACGAGUACGACUCCAUCAACCCCGUUCUCUUGAACGCUUCCGCUCGUGAUCUACAAGGGUAUGUAGAUGCACUCCUACCCUCUCGUUGCUAGCAUCUCCUAGAUUGAUCUUGGUGACACGUAGGAAAAUUUUGAAUUUCUGCUACGUUCCCCAACAGAUGGCAAGUUGUCGCAGCUGGAGCAAGUCUCACAAGAGAGAGCAAUGAAGUCCAUUGUACUCUCCUGUUAUAUACUUCUUGUUGUAGGAUGGCAAGUUGUAGGAUGUGCCAUAAUUGUCUUAUUGCAUAUUCCCUCUGUUCCUUCUAUAUUCCUGUGUAAGGAAAUGUAUUUCCUGAGAUGAUUUGUUAUGUAAACCUGAUGUGAUGCGAUGGAUGAUUUGAA